rnacentral:rRNA from 1 species
CAUAUGCUUGUUUCAAGGACUUAGCCAUGCAUGCCUCAGAAUAACUGCACUGCAGGAAUCUGCGCAUGGCUCAUUACAUCAGAUGUAAUCUGCCGCAAAAGUUUUGCGGUUUACCGCGAUAAUGGAUAACUUGGCGAAAUGCCAAGCUAAUACAUGAACCAACCGGGCGUUCUCCAUCCCAGACGGCGGGCAACUGUCGUCGUGAGACACCCAGCGAAUGAAUGAAAUUUAAAACCAAUGCCUUCACUGGCAGUAACACCUAGAAGUGUUGACUCAAUUCAUUCCGUGCGAAAGCCGGAUCUUUCCGGCGUUUUUUGACGAACAACUGCCCUAUCAUGCUUGAUGGCCGUGUAGUGGACUGCCAUGGCGUUGACGGGAGCGGGGGAUUAGGGUUCGAUUCCGGAGAGGGAGCCUGAGAAAUAGCUACCACUUCUACGGAGGGCAGCAGGCGCGCAAAUUGCCCAAUGUCAAAACAAAACGAUGAGGCAGCGAAAAGAAAUAGAGUUGACAGUCCAUACGGAUUGGAGAUUACAAUGGGGGAUAUUUAAACCCAUCCAAAAUCGAGAAACAAUUGGAGGACAAGUCUGGUGCCAGCACCCGCGGUAAUUCCAGCUCCAAAAGCGUAUAUUAAUGCUGUUGCUGUUAAAGGGUUCGUAGUUGAAUUGAGGGCCGUGUUAGGAAGCGUCCUAGAAUGUCCCGUUCAAUCUUGGAUUUGGUGACACAGGACCUCGCGGCUCGUGAACGUACCAAUGUCGCGCAAGCGACUGAAACAAAAAACACGGGAGUGGUUCCUUUCCUGAUUCACG